GAAGAACGUUUUGAGGAAAUAAGAUUCAAUCUUGACAAAGCUAGUUACUUAAAUAAUACUGCUUUUUGGAUCUUGCAUAAUUCUGAAGUGAUAAAGUGACUCAAUAUAUUUGGCUAUUUGGGAUUCAUAUGGAGAUUGUCCCCAACAGAAAAGUACAAGAACAGCUGAAAGAGGAAUUAAAGGCAAAAUCAAUUAAAAGUUAUACAAAAGCAUCUUUGCAUCAACAGUCAAGAGUCCAAGAGAAUUCUGGAAAAUCUGAUCUUCUCAAUGGCAUUCGCUUUGAUUUCCGAAAUCAACUGGAAUGUUGAAGAAAAUUCAUACAAGCGUAUCAAAGAAAACACAUGAAUACAACAAAAGCCUGCAGUACAUAGUACCUUCAAAAUUGUAAAACCCAAGGCAUUUCAUGGGAGAGUUAUCAGUGAACAUGUGACACCAAAUCACUCAAGGUCAUAUUAGGACAAGCGAAUAAAAUUGAUCAAAAGAAGCAGGUUUAUAGGAUAAUUUUAAGAGCGGGAUAUGGAGGCCUUUGCGCCACUGUAUUUAAUUCAGAAACUGCAUACUAAACUUAUCUAACUGAGUUUGUUCACAUGGGAAUUACUAGUACAAUAGUUUUAAAUAAAACAAAUAUAAUAGUAACUUUGCAACAAAGUAUACUUCAAGCAAAUUAGCUAUUUGGAAACAAGUAGCAGACUAUCAAAUUACAAUUCUUUCUACAAUCAUCAAAAACAAACCUAUUUAAAUGUACAGACGAGUAACAAGGAAAUCUUCCCUACUUCAGAGUAGUUAU